CAGCACGUAGGGAAUCUUCGGCAAUGGGGGGAACCCUGACCGAGCAACGCCGCGUGAGUGAAGAAGGUUUUCGGAUCGUAAAGCUCUGUUGUAAGAGAAGAAACGGGUGUGAGAGUGGAAAGUUCACACUGUGACGGUAUCUUACCAGAAAGGGACGGCUAACUACGUGCCAGCAGCCGCGGUAAUACGUAGGUCCCGAGCGUUGUCCGGAUUUAUUGGGCGUAAAGCGAGCGCAGGCGGUUAGAUAAGUCUGAAGUUAAAGGCUGUGGCUUAACCAUAGUAUGCUUUGGAAACUGUUUAACUUGAGUGCAGAAGGGAGAGUGGAAUUCCAUGUGUAGCGGUGAAAUGCGUAGAUAUAUGGAGGAACACCGGUGGCGAAAGCGGCUCUCUGGUCUGUAACUGACGCUGAGGCUCGAAAGCGUGGGGAGCAAACAGGAUUAGAUACCCUGGUAG
rnacentral:rRNA from 1 species